rnacentral:rRNA from 1 species
GCAAGUCGAACGCGAAAGUCCCGCAAGGGAUCAGUAGAGUGGCAAACGGGUGAGUAACACGUGGGUGACCUGCCUUCGAGUGGGGGAUAACGUCCCGAAAGGGACGCUAAUACCGCAUAACAUCCCGCCUUUUAACAGGUGGACAUCAAAGCUGGGGAUCGCAAGACCUAGCGCUUGAAGAGGGGCCCGCGCCUGAUUAGCUAGUUGGUGGGGUAAUGGCUCACCAAGGCAACGAUCAGUAUCCGGCCUGAGAGGGCGGACGGACACACUGGGACUGAGACACGGCCCAGACUCCUACGGGAGGCAGCAGUGGGGAAUUGUUCGCAAUGGGCGCAAGCCUGACGACGCAACGCCGCGUGGAGGAUGAAGACCUUCGGGUCGUAAACUCCUUUCGAUCGAGACGAAUGGCCUCCGGGUGAACAAUCCGGAGGAAUGACGGUACCGAGAGAAGAAGCCCCGGCUAACUCCGUGCCAGCAGCCGCGGUAAUACGGGGGGGGCAAGCGUUGUUCGGAAUUACUGGGCGUAAAGGGCUCGUAGGUGGCCAACUAAGUCAGACGUGAAAUCCCUCGGCUUAACCGGGGAACUGCGUCUGAUACUGGAUGGCUUGAGUUUGGGAGAGGGACGCGGAAUUCCAGGUGUAGCGGUGAAAUGCGUAGAUAUCUGGAGGAACACCGGUGGCGAAGGCGGCGUCCUGGACCAACACUGACACUGAGGAGCGAAAGCCAGGGGAGCAAACGGGAUUAGAUACCCCGGUAGUCCUGGCCCUAAACGAUGAAUGCUUGGUGUGGCGGGUAUCGAUCCCUGCC